UACAGAGGGUGCAAGCGUUAAUCGGAAUUACUGGGCGUAAAGCGUGCGUAGACGGUUGCUUAAGUCGGAUGUGAAAUCCCCGGGCUCAACCUGGGAAUUGCAUUCGAUACUGGGCAGCUAGGGCGCGGAAGAGGGAAGCGGAAUUUCCGGUGUAGCGGUGAAAUGCGUAGAUAUCGGAAGGAACAUCAGUGGCGAAAGCGGCUUCCUGGUCCAGCACCGACGUUCAGGCACGAAAGCGUGGGGAGCAAAC
rnacentral:rRNA from 1 species